CCUACGGGCGGCAGCAGUGGGGAAUAUUGGACAAUGGGCGAAAGCCUGAUCCAGCCAUGCCGCGUGUGUGAAGAAGGCCUUCGGGUUGUAAAGCACUUUCAGUGGGGAAGAAAGCCUUGGGGCUAAUACCCUCGAGGAAGGACAUCACCCACAGAAGAAGCACCGGCUAACUCCGUGCCAGCAGCCGCGGUAAUACGGAGGGUGCGAGCGUUAAUCGGAAUUACUGGGCGUAAAGCGCGCGUAGGCGGUCUGAUAAGCCGGUUGUGAAAGCCCCGGGCUCAACCUGGGAACGGCAUCCGGAACUGCAAAGCUAGAGUGCAGGAGAGGGAGGUAGAAUUCCCGGUGUAGCGGUGAAAUGCGUAGAGAUCGGGAGGAAUACCAGUGGCGAAGGCAGCCUUCUGGACUGACACUGACGCUGAGGUGCGAAAGCGUGGGUAGCAAACAGGAUUAGAUACCCUUGUAGUC
rnacentral:rRNA from 1 species